rnacentral:rRNA from 1 species
AGUGGCGAACGGGUGAGUAAUGCAUCGGAACGUGCCCAAGAGUGGGGGAUAGCCCGGCGAAAGCCGGAUUAAUACCGCAUACGAUCUAUGGAUGAAAGUGGGGGACCGCAAGGCCUCACGCUCCUGGAGCGGCCGAUGUCAGAUUAGGUAGUUGGUGGGGUAAAGGCUCACCAAGCCAACGAUCUGUAGCUGGUUUGAGAGAACGACCAGCCACACUGGGACUGAGACACGGCCCAGACUCCUACGGGAGGCAGCAGUGGGGAAUUUUGGACAAUGGGCGCAAGCCUGAUCCAGCAAUGCCGCGUGCAGGAUGAAGGCCUUCGGGUUGUAAACUGCUUUUGUACGGAGCGAAAAGGCUUCUUCUAAUACAGGAGGCUCAUGACGGUACCGUAAGAAUAAGCACCGGCUAACUACGUGCCAGCAGCCGCGGUAAUACGUAGGGUGCAAGCGUUAAUCGGAAUUACUGGGCGUAAAGCGUGCGCAGGCGGUGAUGUAAGACAGAGGUGAAAUCCCCGGGCUCAACCUGGGAACUGCCUUUGUGACUGCAUCGCUAGAGUACGGUAGAGGGGGGUGGAAUUCCGCGUGUAGCAGUGAAAUGCGUAGAUAUGCGGAGGAACACCGAUGGCGAAGGCAGCCCCCUGGACCUGUACUGACGCUCAUGCACGAAAGCAUGGGGAGCAAACAGGAUUAGAUACCCUGG